rnacentral:lncRNA from 1 species
AAUACAAAAUAUCAAAAUAUGAAAGGGUCACUUCUUUCACUAUGCAAUUGGCUUAUCAAAGUGCGAGACAAGUCAUGCACUCAAGGUUUGUGGAUCCAUGGGAUCCUCAUAGACUUCAAGGGAUAGGUCAACAGUCGGUUCUUCACUAUCUUCCUCAUCUGGGGGGCAUGGAAAUGGUGAGUUUCAUACACUCAAUAAGAAAAAUAGUAUUUAAAUAACAUCAUAAGAUUUUAAAAGUGAAU